UACGGGGGGGGCAAGCGUUGUUCGGAAUUACUGGGCGUAAAGGGCUCGUAGGCGGCCAACUAAGUCAGACGUGAAAUCCCUCGGCUUAACCGGGGAACUGCGUCUGAUACUGGAUGGCUUGAGUUUGGGAGAGGGAUGCGGAAUUCCAGGUGUAGCGGUGAAAUGCGUAGAUAUCUGGAGGAACACCGGUGGCGAAGGCGGCAUCCUGGACCAACACUGACGCUGAUGAGCGAAAGCCAGGGGAGCAAACGGGG
rnacentral:rRNA from 1 species